AACGAACGCUGGCGGCAGGCUUAACACAUGCAAGUCGAGCGCCCCGCAAGGGGAGCGGCAGACGGGUGAGUAACGCGUGGGAAUCUACCCAUCUCUACGGAAUAACGCAUGGAAACGUGUGCUAAUACCGUAUACUUCCUUCGGGCGAAAGAUUUAUCGGAGAUGGAUGAGCCCGCGUUGGAUUAGCUAGUUGGUGGGGUAAAGGCCUACCAAGGCGACGAUCCAUAGCUGGUCUGAGAGGAUGAUCAGCGACACUGGGACUGAGACACGGCCCAGACUCCUACGGGAGGCAGCAGUGGGGAAUAUUGGACAAUGGGCGCAAGCCUGAUCCAGCCAUGCCGCGUGAGUGAUGAAGGCCCUAGGGUUGUAAAGCUCUUUCACCGGUGAAGAUAAUGACGGUAACCGGAGAAGAAGCCCCGGCUAACUUCGUGCCAGACGCCGCGGUAACAC
rnacentral:rRNA from 1 species